AAAACAUUUUUUACAGAAUUAUCAUUGUAAAUAUAUCCUGCUCAAUGAAAUUUAAAUAGCCGCGGAAUUUUAACCGUGCUAAGGUAGCAUAAUCAUUAGCCUUUUAAUUAGAGGCUCGUAUGAAAGGAAUUACAUUUCAAUUUCUUUAUUUUAUAAUUUAUUUUAAAUUAAAUUAAGAAUAAAAAUGUUCUUAUGAGUUAAUUAGACGAUAAGACCCUUUUGAACUUUACUAAAGUUUAGCUGGGGCAGCUAAGGAAUAAUUAUUUUCCUUAUUUUUGUUUAAUAAAAGACCCAAUAAAAUUGUUUAUUGAACAAGUUACCAUAGGGAUAACAGCGUAAUAUUUUUUUAAAGCUCUUAUUUAAAAAAAAGUUUGCGACCUCGAUGUUGAAUUAAAAUUACUUAUUU
rnacentral:rRNA from 1 species